rnacentral:rRNA from 2 species
ACGGGAGGCAGCAGUGAGGAAUAUUGGUCAAUGGUCGGAAGACUGAACCAGCCAAGUCGCGUGCAGGACGAAGGCCCUACGGGUCGCAGACUGCUUUUGCCCGGGGAUACGAACGGGGUCGUGACCCCGCCAGAAGGUACCGGGCGAAUAAGGAUCGGCUAACUCCGUGCCAGCAGCCGCGGUAAUACGGAGGAUCCGAGCGUUAUCCGGAUUUAUUGGGUUUAAAGGGUGCGCAGGCGGGCAGUCAAGUCCGUGGUGAAAUGCCGGUGCUCAACGCCGGCCCGCCGCGGAAACUGACGGUCUUGAGUCGUGACGAGGGCGGCGGAAUGCGGCGUGUAGCGGUGAAAUGCUUAGAUACGCCGCAGAACUCCGAUUGCGAAGGCAGCCGCCCAGGGACGCACUGACGCUGAGGCACGAAGGCAUGGGGAUCGAACAGGAUUAGAUACCCUGGUA